UACGGAAGGCAGCAGUGGGGAAGUAUUGCACAAUGGGCGCAAGCCUGAUGCAGCCAUGCCGCGUGUAUGAAGAAGGCCUUCGGGUUGUAAAGUACUUUCAGUCGUGAGGAAGGUGUUAAGGUUAAUAACCUUAGCAAUUGACGUUAGCGACAGAAGAAGCACCGGCUAACUCCGUGCCAGCAGCCGCGGUAAUACGGAGGGUGCGAGCGUUAAUCGGAAUUACUGGGCGUAAAGGGCACGCAGGCGGUUAAUUAAGUUGGAUGUGAAAUCCCCGGGCUUAACCUGGGAAUGGCAUUCAAGACUGGUUAGCUAGAGUCUUGUAGAGGGGGUAGAAUUCCAUGUGUAGCGGUGAAAUGCGUAGAGAUGUGGAGGAAUACCGGUGGCGAAGGCGGCCCCUGGACAAAGACUGACGCUCAUGUGCGAAAGCGUGGGGAGCAAACAGGGAUUAGAUACC
rnacentral:rRNA from 1 species